rnacentral:rRNA from 1 species
AUGAACGCUGGCGGCGUGCCUAAUACAUGCAAGUAGAACGCUGAAGGAAGGAGCUUGCUCUUUCCGGAUGAGUUGCGAACGGGUGAGUAACGCGUAGGUAACCUGCCUGGUAGCGGGGGAUAACUAUUGGAAACGAUAGCUAAUACCGCAUAACAGUAGAUGUUGCAUGAUAUCUACUUAAAAGGUGCAAUUGCACCACUACCAGAUGGACCUGCGUUGUAUUAGCUAGUUGGUGAGGUAACGGCUCACCAAGGCGACGAUACAUAGCCGACCUGAGAGGGUGAUCGGCCACACUGGGACUGAGACACGGCCCAGACUCCUACGGGAGGCAGCAGUAGGGAAUCUUCGGCAAUGGACGGAAGUCUGACCGAGCAACGCCGCGUGAGUGAAGAAGGUUUUCGGAUCGUAAAGCACUGUUGUAAGAGAAGAACGAGUGUGAGAGUGGAAAGUUCACACUGUGACGGUAUCUUACCAGAAAGGGACGGCUAACUACGUG